GCCUUUUGGCCCCGCCCCCAGCCCAGCGUGAGUGAGGUGGAGGCUGCCGCGUCGCUCCCGGAAGUGACUUCUCCUCAAGCUCCUCCCCCUCCCUUUCAGGGUCACGAGUCUGGAAGGCGGAUGUGUAUGCCACACACCACAUGAGAAAUUAAACUGUUUAGCCGGCACUGCACCACCUGACAUCCGCCAGAAAGUAGCAGCCAGCAAUGAAAGCGCCAAGGCAUUGACAUCUCUGGCCCAUCCCAUGUUCGGGUAUCAGCCAGCAGGCCAACACCUUAAAUCAGAAAUAGUUUUCUAAGAUCUACAGAGAUACUCGUAGGAAUACCUCAGCAAGCAAGAGUCCAAAAGUGGCAGGCUAAAACCCAGAACUUUAAUCAUUGACUGACUCUGGAUGAGAGAUUCCCUCCUGUGCACACAGAAGACUGGGCGACUUGGAAGGCGCUUAACAGAUUGCGCUCUGGCACCUCGAAAUGCAGGGCCAACCUUAAGAAAUGGGGCUACAAAGUGGAGUCCACGACAUGCGAGUAUGGAGAAGAUCAAACCACAGACCACCUAUUAUAAUGCAGCCUGAGUCUUUCCACAUGCACAAUGGAGGACCUUCUUAUAGCAACAUCAGAGGCACUCCAAGUGACCAGCUGCUGGUCAAAGGACAUUUAGUAUAGUUUUAUUUGUUUUGUUUGUUUUUAACUUUGUGAUUUCAAAUACAUUACAACUUGUACCCUCUUUUUGCUUCUGACACAACAAAUAAAUAACCCCACUUUAUCUCACCCUGA